ACAUCCUUUAAACCCUGCUUACAUUUGGACCUGUGGCGUGAUUUCUCUUGGUCCAUUAAGCAAAACUUGACAGAACGGAAACUUCUCUCUCCUUUUCAGCUGGAGAGUCUGCCAGGCCGGGCAGUGCCAGGAUUCUUUCUCAUCAUCUUUUUAAUGAUAAAUUAAUUGUGAACUCUUAAGUGCUUGUCCUCAGCAUCCUGCCAGGGCACACCACGAUAAUGGUGCUUCUCACGGCCGAGCUGCCUCCUCUCUCUUUCCAAAGCAAAUAAAUGAACAUCACUGAGCAUCUUGGAAGCGCCUCACCCAAUUUCUGGGAUAGGACACAGAAUCGAUGGGCACGUCUUUAUUUCUGCCUACAAUAUGUAUUCUUGUAGCUGACUUCUCAUGCGGAGGAGAUGUGGAAACGUCAGGAACUUAACGCCCAGUUCUGGUUGAUGAUCACCUCCUGGGAUGGUUUGGUCAGCCACAACAAACGAGCAGAGUUUCUGGUUCUGUCACUCAAGGAAAAGAUUCCAGUGGAUGGCAGGAGGCCAAGUGACAAAGAAAGCGAAAGUCACAACGGGAAAGAUCCUCUGAGGCCGCACCGUGAAGAGGUGAGAGAGACACUGACAAUGGACCAAUUACUGCAAAAAUAUCAAAGGUGCUGGCUGUGCACCUGGCACUGAAUUUUUGAGUGACUUGCAGAAGGGAAAGGCUGGCCCAGAGUGCCUUGUCUAACGGAUGCAGGUGGUGCACGUGAGCAUCGGCUGGGCCUUUACUGAUCUAUCCUCUCCCAGGCCUGCACUGUGAGAGCCACAGGGGGAGUUCCCACAAGAUCAGAGAGAUUGGACCUCCUGGGAGAGUUCCGUCAUCCCUGGAGGCCUUCCCUUCCACGGGGGAGCUCUCUGUCCACGCAGCUGUGCCUGCAUUCCCCCACCUGCAGCGGGUUAGAGAGCCUAGGGACCCCUCCCCCACACCCCUCCGCUCAGCAAAACCAUCCAGGAAGCCUGGGAAGAAAGCCACUGCGUAAUGAAAAACGAAUGAAGGCCGUUAUACCUGAAUAAUAAUUAUUAAUUGAUGCCAGAGACAAAAUGUAGAAAUUACCGUCGUGACAUUUUUGUUGCCAAAACAAAGGAAACUGGUGGAGUCCAUAUUCCUUUUAAAUAGCAUACCUUUUAGGAUGCCCAACCAUCCUGGUUUGCCCAGGGUGUUCUGGUGCUCGCUUCUGCACAAACCAAGAUGGUUGGUGACCCUAGUUUUAGUUAACAUCAGGGUACCUGGUUUAGGAUGGUGUAAGGUAAAUGAUUAAGUUUUUUCAGACCUGGAUAGAAAAAUCUAACAGAGGAUUCCCUCCCUUAUCUUUAUCUAGAGAAAUAAAUGUAUUAAGGAAACCCCCUGUGAAUCAACUUAGCAGGUAGACCCAAAUGACUCUGAAGUCAGGCUUGAACCCUGGCUCCACCACCCACCAGCUGUGUGAACUUGGCAACUUAUCAUCGGUCUCUCUGGGUCUCAGUCUCUCUCUCUGUAAAGUGGAGAUGAUAGGAGAACUCAGAGGGUUUUUAAAUGAAUUAAAUGAGCUCAUACAUGUAAAAGGCUUAGAGCCGCACCUGGCACACAUAGUUAGCGCUUCAUAUGUCUUAGUCAUCAUCAAUCACUAUUAUUACCUCUUUUUUCAUAAGCC
rnacentral:lncRNA from 1 species